GUUUGAAGUAUUUCAUAAUGAACAGCGAAAUUGAUGUUUGCCCCUUGACAUUUCAAUGUCAAUGUAUUUUAAGCUACAGUGUGUUAAAACGCUGCUGAAAAAUUUAACUUUUGAAAUGUUCAAGUAUAGAUUCUUUUUCAUUGUUCUUCCAACCUUGGGGUUGUUCUGUCCACAAGUUCAGCAGAAUCCAUUUUUCUUUGACAAUCAAGAAACUUCAAUAUGUAACAGAAAACAUGGAAUAGCAUUUAGAUCUUUAAAAAGCAGGGCAAACUGGAAUGGAAUGUACUGUUUCUCACAGUGGUCUAUGCUGACAGCAAGGCUGAAGAUUUCCAGUAGGUUAUGGGUAAUCAGUGAAAGUUCAUGCUUGGUGGUGACAGCUGCAGUACAUCUUGAAUACCAGUUUUCUUCAAUCUUUGCCAAAAACCCAAAUUUAACAGUUUGCUGUAGUGCCAUUAAGAUAUACUCCUAUACAAUUUCCUCCAACUCGGUUCAUCUGAUACAGCUGCAAAAAUAUUGUCUUUGGUGGUCAAGUAGAAGGCUCACGAAAACAGCACAUCCACAGUUUUGAAAGCCUUAUUCUGAAUGUACCCAAAGUACAGUUUUCUUCAUCAGUAGAUUCAUCUCAACCAACAGCAAUAAAAGAUGAGCCGAAUUUUUUUUUUUUUUUUUGAGAUGGAGUCUUGCUCUAUCGCCCAGGCUGGAGUGCAGUGGCGCAAUCUCGGCUUACUGCAAGCUCCGCCUCCCGGGUUCAUGCCAUUCUUCUGCCUCAGCCUCCCGCGAGCUGAUGUUUUUUAAGAUCUGAAGUUUGAUAUAUUCAGUCAUAAAUUCAGAGUUAAGACUGCAGAAGUAGAUGAAGAAAUUCUGGAAUUCCUUAAUUUAUUUGUGGCAGCACUCAGAAUGCAAGGUUUCACAAGUGUCUCCAUUUUUUUCUCCUUUGCAAUUAAAAGGGCUAUUUAAUAUUAAGCUUUCAUGGCUUGGAAGAUUCCUGUGAAUAUUUCAAUACUGUCCAGUCUUAAAGCCGCAGAGAAUCGGGCUUUGCAGAACACUCCACUGUUUUUAAUAGCAUGAAUUUAACAGUGUUUGGCAUGGUGUCACUGCCCAACAGUUUCAGAUAACUCAACUGAAGAAGUUGACCCUAUCUUCUGCAUAAUAACAUGAGUAUAUACUUGAGAAAAGCCUCAACAUUUUUUUUUUUUUGGCUGCCAUUUUUAGCUACCUCAAAGGAGAUAACAGAAAAACAGGGAGUACUGAUGAUGGAAGCAUCUGGUCCCUCUUGCAGAGUGAUGAAUGAUUUUAUUGGUGGCAGCUGGGUGGCAGGACAAUCCAGGCAUCCAGUUAUGCCUGAGCCCCAAUAAGUGAAAUCUUUGUUCAUUUUCUUUUUAUACACUGGUCUGAUCUGACACCAUUUAAUGGUGCCCUGGUCAAAUCUAAAUGAUCUUACUUUCAUAAUCCUUUGAUUCUAGCUUGCAGAGUCAAGACGAACUCUAACUCAUGGGAUGGACAAACUGGAAGAUGUAAAAUAAGUAAGGCUUUCUGGGCCAAAAAGCCUCUUCUUACAGAAAAUCAAAUUUUAAAAGAACAUUGACCUCAAAACAAUAAAACUGUCCUGGUUAUGCAAUAGAAAUAGCUAUAUAAAUGGAAUCAUAUCCUUAAUGAAUACCUCCUGUGGCUACCCAACAUCUUAUUGAUUAUAGGCCUUGCUGUGAAUGCUUUCUUGCUCUAUCUGAAGUAUUCCCACCAGAGUUGUUUCCAACUUUAUUUCCUAUAUUAUGAAAAAUGAAGUUUUUUCCAACAUUGUAACAAAGUAUAUGAAAGAUAAUGUACACUAUAUUAAAUAAACCAUUAUACAAAAAUA
rnacentral:sRNA from 1 species